rnacentral:lncRNA from 1 species
AAGGAGAUGAUGAAUUUCAGAGGCUGUUUCUGAGGUUGAGCCCAGAGCUCUACUAUGUUGCAAAAUAACUGAUUUGCCUAUCUGAUCCAACUUACUAUUCAAACACUUUCAUUUUCUUUUCUUUAUUUUGCUGAGGAGAUGAUGAAUAUCAGAGGCUGUUUCUGAGGAUGAGCUCAGAGCUCUACCUAUGUUGCAAAAGUACUGAUUUGCCUAUCUGAUCCAAAUUACCAUUCAAAUACUUUAUAUUUUCUCUUCUAUUUUGCCUAGGAGAUGAUGAAUAUCAGAGGCUGUUUCUGAGGAUGAGCCUAGAGCUCUCCAUGUGUUGCAAAAUUACUGAUUUGCCUAUCUGAUCCAAAGCACUACUAGGUAGAAUUUUUUUGGGCUACUGGUGAGAAGCUGUAUGUAGGCUAUGCUUGCUAUCUUGGCUGUUGUGUCAAUUUGUUUUACCUUCAUUGGGGAAAUGAUGAUUAAUUCUUCAGAUAUGUCCUAAAUGGGCUUUUAAAAGAAUGGUGACAAAUUGCACGUCAGUCUGAUCCCCUAUGGUUUUUUACUAAUUUGUUAGUAGUAUCCACUUUUAUAUGGGAAAUGAUGAUUAUUUCAUCUCAGAUGUCCUUUAUGGAUAAUUCAGAAUGAUGAGAAAUUGCACGUCAGUCUGAUCCCAAACUGUAGUUAAACUGUUACUAAUUUAUGUUGAUCUGUCACUAGUUGAUUUAUGUUGAUUGUCCACCAAAUAAUUGGUUUGCCCUUCUCAACUGUGAUGAACAUUCCUAUAAUAGUCAACUAGCAUCGUUGUGAUCAGUCAAACUAAUUUGGACCCUUGCACUGUUGUUUGUGGCAGGAGGAGCUAGGAACUGAAUAUCUGGUGCAGCCGCUUGGCCGUGCUGAAGACGAAGAGCAUUCCAGUGACUUUGAGCCAGAAGAAAAUGGUGAUGGUGCUGAGGACGAGGAGAUUGAGGAUGAUGAUGCUGAGGAUGGUGAGGAUUCUGUCAAGGCGCAAUCCUCUUCGAAGAGGAAGAGGUCUGGCGCGGAGGAUGAAGAUGAUGAUGACGGUGAUGAUGAUGGUGAUGAUGAUGAGAAGCCUCCAUCAAAGCGAUAGUCAAUUUGUUCUUGCUGAUCUGGUAUCUUUUCUGCUUGGGCCAAGAAGGAAAAUAAUCCUCACGGAGAGGGUUGUUGGUAAAUGCUGUAGCUUUAGGACAUCUGUGGUAGGUGUAGCAGCUCGAACUUGAGUCUACCCAUGUUAGUUGUUAGUGCAUACUGCUGAUGUUGAUUAACAGCCUCGGGGAACUUCUGUAUGAGCAUUAGAUAUGGGGCUUGUUAUAUGCUUGUGUAGCUUCUGAUUAAAACCUGUGGAAUGUGGAUGCUCUGUUCUGAAUCUUGUUUUCAUGAUAUUUCU